rnacentral:rRNA from 1 species
UACGGAGGGUGCAAACGUUGCUCGGAAUUAUUGGGCGUAAAGCGCACGUAGGCGGUUCGUUAAGUCGGAUGUGAAAGCCCUGGGCUCAACCCAGGAAGUGCAUUCGAAAACUGGCGGGCUUGAAUAUGGAAGAGGGUCGCGGAAUUCCCGGUGUAGAGGUGAAAUUCGUAGAUAUCGGGAGGAACACCAGUGGCGAAAGGCGGCGACCUGGGCCAAUAUUGACGCUGAGGUGCGAAAGCGUGGGGAGCAAACAGG